rnacentral:lncRNA from 1 species
AGGGAAGGUGUUAGCACCCAAAGUGUCCUAGGUAUUCCUAGGGAGCCCUUUUUGUGUGCAUAUGUAUUUUGUACAAAGUGAUGUUUACAAACAAAUAGAAUGGGGGUAUGAGAAAAGAAUUGAUUAAUUAUAUUUUUGUGUUUGACAAGACCUUCGGUCUUAUGCCUACGUACCAACAUAUAAAUGAGGGAUUAAAACCUCAUAGUUCGUGCUAUAAAUUUCAAAGUGAGUAUGUUGGUUUUAACCAAAAUUAAGCUUGAAAGGCAC